rnacentral:rRNA from 1 species
GGCCCUUUGAUUGUAAAGAUAAAGGGUCGAACAAAACCCGGUGGUACAUAACAUGUAUUAAACGGUCGCAACUCACUGUUGUGCGAAGGUAGCGUAAUAAGUUGUCCUUUAAUUGGGGAAGAGUAUGAAAGGUUUGACGAAAGGAUAGCUGUCUCAAAAAUAUAGAUUGAAGUUUUCUUUUAAGUGAAAAGACUUAAAUUUUGAAAUAAGACGAGAAGACCCCGGUGAGCUUGAUUAAGCUCGGUUAGUUAGUUGGGUUGAAGUUUUGUUGGGGUAACAGGAAGAGAAAAAAAUUUCUUCUAAUGAUGUGAGGAUCCUUUUUGAGAGAACAAAGCAAAAGCUACCACGGGGAUAACAGCGCCAUCCCUUUUUAAAGAUCUUAUUGAAGAAGGGGUUUGCGACCUCGAUGUUGGAUUAGAGUUUCGUCUUGGUGCAGAAGCUAAGGUAGAGAGACUGUUCGUCUUUUAAUUCUUUACA